rnacentral:rRNA from 1 species
UACGAAGGGGGCUAGCGUUGCUCGGAAUCACUGGGCGUAAAGCGCACGUAGGCGGGUCCUUAAGUCGGGGGUGAAAUCCCGGAGCUCAACUCCGGAACUGCCUUCGAUACUGGGGACCUCGAGUCCGGGAGAGGUGAGUGGAACUGCGAGUGUAGAGGUGAAAUUCGUAGAUAUUCGCAAGAACACCAGUGGCGAAGGCGGCUCACUGGCCCGAUACUGACGCUGAGGCACGAAAGCGUGGGGAGCAAACAGG